rnacentral:rRNA from 1 species
CUGCCAGAGGCCAUUGCUAUCAGGGUUUGACUAAGCCAUGCGAGUCGAGAGGUGUAAGACCUCGGCAUACUGCUCAGUAACACGUGGUUAACCUGCCCUAAGGUGGAGAAUACUCCCGGGAAACUGGGGCUAAUGCUCCAUAGUGGAUAUGUCCUGGAAUGGUAUAUCCUCGAAAGAUCCGUCGCCUUAGGAUGGGACUGCGUCCGAUUAGGUUGUUGGCGGGGUAACGGCCCACCAAGCCUUUUAUCGGUACGGGUUGUGGGAGCAAGAUCCCGGAGAUGGAUUCUGAGACAUGAAUCCAGGCCCUACGGGGCGCAGCAGGCGCGCAAACUUUACAAUGCGAGCAAUCGUGAUAAGGAAACCCUGAGUGCCUGUCGAUGCAGGCUGUUCAUAUAUCUAAAUCAUAUGUGAAGAAAGGGCAGGGCAAGACCGGUGCCAGCCGCCGCGGUAAUACCGGCUGCUCGAGUGAUGGCCACUAUUACUGGGUUUAAAGCGUCCGUAGCUUGACUGUUAGGUCUCUUGGGAAA